UACGGGGGGGGUAAGCGUUGUUCGGAAUUACUGGGCGUAAAGGGCUCGUAGGCGGCCAACUAAGUCAGACGUGAAAUCCCUCAGCUUAACUGGGGAACUGCGUCUGAUACUGGAUGGCUUGGAUUCGGGAGAGGAAUGCGGAAUUCCAGGUGUAGCGGUGAAAUGCGUAGAUAUCGGGAGGAACGCCGGUGGCGAAGGCGGUUCUCUGGGCCUUACCUGACGCUGAGGAGCGAAAGCGUGGGGAGCGAACAGG
rnacentral:rRNA from 1 species